UGGUGGGGGGGGGGGGGCGCGACACAGCUCGGGCCCGCCAGUGCCCCAACGGGGCCCUAGUCUUCUUCUUAUUAUUUUUCUGCCCCUUUGAACUGGAAAAUGGCCCACUUCCCACUGGCGAAAACUCAUGAAAUUUGGCAGGACGACCGGGCCUGGUGAAAAAUUCGAUAUUCUGAAGUCGCCCAAACAAUAAAAUGCAAAACGGCUCCAUAGCGCCCCCUAAGGUGAAAAUUCACACUAUUGACUGUCACGCCUGUACGCUUUGUCAUAUUGACACAAAAAUUGACACACACGUGUAUCUCAAUAAGAUCUACAAAAAAGUCAGUGCGGGCGUAUCUGUCGAAUGUAUGGUUAAAGGGUUAUUUCGCAUUUUUUGCCGAUCCGCACACAUUGGAAUUUCGCUAACUCCUCCGAAGGCUUUCGUUCCACUGGCACCACAUUUGCUCAGGCCAAUCUACACCCCAUGGCCAUUAAAAGUUGUACAAAUCAUGACGCUGCACCCCACGGUUUAGGUUCUAGGGGGCGCCAAAGAUAACCCAAAAAUCCACAGUCUUAAAAGUCUUAUAACUUUUUAUUUUUGUCCUCACUGGCCUCCAAGUUCUCUAGGAUGUUGCAAUGUCCAGCAAUUAACACAUUUGUGAAGGAAUUUUUACUCGCCAAAAGAGUGCCCCCCCAUGGCAGGAGAAAAAAGUCCAUUUUUUCUUGUCUCCUAAGGUGAAAAUACACAUUGUCGAGUGUCACGCUUGUACGCUUUGUCAUAUUUACACACAAUUUGACAACCACUUGAAUCUCAAUAAGAUCUACGAAAAAGUCAAUGUGCGCGUAUCUGUCAAAUGUACGGUUAAAGGGUUAUUCUGCAUUUUUUGCAAAUUUGCACACAUUGGAAUUUUUCUAAGUCCUCCGAAGGCUUUUGUCCCACUGACACCACAUUUGCUCAGGCCAAUCUACACUCCAUGGCCAUUCAAAGUUGUACAAAUCAUGACGCUGCACCCCACGGUUUAGGUUCUAGGGGGCACCAAAGAUAACCCAAAAAUCCACAGUCUUAAAAGUCUUAUAACUUUUUAUUUUUGUCCUCAGUGGCCUCCAAGUUGUCUAGGAUGAUGCAAUGUCCAGCAAUUAACACAUUUGUGAAGGAAAUUUUACUCGCCAAAAGAGUGCCCCCCCAUGGCAGGAGAAAAAAGUCCAUUUUUUCUUGUCUCCUAAGGUGAAAAUACACAUUGUCGAGUGUCACGCCUGUACGCUUUGUCAUAUUUACACACAAUUUGACAACCACAUGAAUCUCAAUAAGAUCUAUGAAAAAGUCAAUGUGCGCGUAUCUGUCAAAUGUACGGUUAAAGGGUUAUUCUGCAUUUUUUGCAGAUUUGCACACAUUGGAAUUUUGCUAACUCCUCCGAAGGCUUUUGUCCCACUGACACCAAAUUUGCUCAGGCCAAUCUACACUCCAUGGCCAUUCAAAGUUGUACAAAUCAUGACGCUGCACCCCACGGUUUACGUUCUAGGGGGCGCCAAAGAUAACCCAAAAAUCCACAGUCUUAAAAGUCUUAUAACUUUUUAUUUUUUUCCUCACUGGCCUCCAAGUUCUCUAGGAUGAUGCAAUGUCCAGCCAUCAACACAUUUGUGAAGGAAUUUUUACUCCCCAAAAGAGCGCCCCCCCAUGGCAGGAGAAAAAAGUCCAUUUUUUCUUGUCCCCUAAGGUGAAAAUACACAUUGUUGAGUGUCACGCCUAUACGCUUUGUCAUAUUGACCCAAAAUUUGACAAUCACGUGUAUCUCAAUAAGAUCUACGAAAAAGUCAAUGGGCACGUAUCUGUAAAAUGUACGGUUAAAGGGCUAUUUUGCAUUUUUUCCCGAUCCGCACACAUUGGAAUUUCGCUAACUCCUCCGAAGGCUUUAGUUCCACCGCCACCAAAUUUGCUCAGGCCAAUCUACACCCCAUGGCCAUUAAAAGUUGUACAAAUCAUGACGCUGCACUCCACGGUUUAGGUUCUAGGGGGCGCCAAAGAUAACCCAAAAAUCCACAUUCUUAAUAGUCUUAUAACUUUUUAUUUUUGUCCUCACUGGCCUCCAAGUUUUCUAGGAUGAUGCAAUGUCCAGCCAUCAACACAUUUGUGAAGGAAUUUUUACUCCCGAAAAGAGCGCCCCCCAUGGCAGGAGAAAAAAGUCCAUUUUUUCUUGUCCCCUAAGGUGAAAAAACACAUUGUUGACUGUCACGCCUAUACACUUUGUCAAAAUGACACAAAAUUUGACACACACGUGUAUCUCAAUAAGAUCUACGAAAAAGUCAAUGGGCACGUAUCUGUAAAAUGUACGGUUAAAGGGCUAUUUCGCAUUUUUUGCCGAUUCGCACACAUUGGAAUGUGGCUAACUCCUCCUAAGGCUUUCUUCCUACCAACACCAAAUUUGCUCAAGCCGAUCUACAUCCCAUGGCCAUUCAAAGUUGUAAAAAUCAUGCCGCUGCACCCCAUGGUUUACGUUCUAGGGGGCGCCAAAGAUGACCCAAAUAUCCACAUUCUUAAAAGAAUCCACAUCCCCCCCCCCAAGGCAGGAGAAAAAGUCCAGUUAACCCUGCCCAUCGCUCAAUGGCUCAAUCGCAUCGCUCUCCUGGCAACACCGUAAGGAGGAGCAACUUGCCAUUUGGAUGUAUCCUAGCUGUGUUUGUGCCCUCACUCAUGGUCCAGACUUUUUUCAAAUAGGACAUGUAGUUUGUCUGCAGCGACCGUUUUGGUAGAAACUGCGCCUCCCAUUCAUUAUAAUGGGAAAUGACCACAGACAAGUGCGCGCACCAUCUUUGGACCUUGAGUGUGAUGCGAUCUUGAGGGGGAGGCGGUCGCGCUGGGGGCGGCGCGACGCGGCUCGGGCCCGACAGUGCCCCACCGGGGCCCUAGUUAGGGCCCGAGCGUAGCUGCUAAGCAGCUGCGAGAGCCCUCUUGUUCCUGCAUGUUUCCUUCUUUCGUUAUUAUUUUUCCUCCGCUUCAAACUGGAAAAUGGCCCACUUCCCACUGGCGAAAACUCAGGAAAUUUGGCAGGACGACCGGGCCUGGUGAAAAAUUCGAUAUUCUGAAGUCGCCCAAACAAUAAAAUGCAAAAUGGCUCCAUAGCGCCCCCUAAGGUGAAAAUUCACAUGACGGCUGUACGCUUUGUCAUAUUGACACAAAAAUUGACACACACAUGUAUCUCAAUAAGAUCUACAAAAAAGUCAGUGCGGGCGUAUCUGUCAAAUGUACGGUUAAUGGGUUAUUUUGCAUUUUUUGCAGAUCUGCACACAUUGGAAUUUCGCUAACUCCUCCGAAGGCUUUCGUUCGACCGGCACCACAUUUGCGCAGGCCAAUCUACCCCCCAUGGCCAUUAAAAGUUGUACAAAUCAUGACGCUGCACCCCACGGUUUACGUUCUAGGGGGCGCCAAAGAUAACCCAAAAAUCCACAUUCUUAAAAGUCUUAUAACUUUUUACUUUUGUCCUCACUGGCCUCCAAGUUUUCUAGGAUGAUGCAAUGUCCAGCCAUCAACACAUUUGUGAAGGAAUUUUUACUCCCCAAAAGAGCGCCCCCCAAUGGCAGGAGAAAAAGGUCCAUUUUUUCUUGUCUCCUAAGGUGAAAAUACACAUCGUCGAGUGUCACGCCAGUAUGCUUUGUCAUAUUGACACAAAAUUUGACAAUCACGUGUAUCUCAAUAAGAUCUAUGAAAAAGUCAAAAGGCAUGUAUCUGUCAAAUGUACGGUUAAAGGGCUAUUUUGCAUUUUUUGCCGAUCCGCACACAUUGGAAUUUCGCUAACUCCUCCGAAGGCUAUCUUUCCACCGGCACCAAAUUUGCUCAGGCCAAUCUACACCCCAUGGCCAUUAAAAGUUGUACAAAUCAUCUUGCUGCACCCCACGGUUUGGGUUCUAGGGGGCACCAAAGAUAACCCUAAAAUCCACAUUCUUAAAAGUCUUAUAACUUUUUAUUUUUUUCCAUACUGGCCUCCAAGUUUUUUAGGAUGAUGCAAUGUCCAGCCAUCAACACAUUUGUGAAGAAAUUUUUACUCCCCAAAAGAGCGCCCCCCCCAUGGCAGGAGAAAAAAGUCCAUUUUUUCUUAUCCCGAAAGGUGAAAAUACACGUUGUUGAGUGUCACGCCUUUACGCUUUGUCAUAUUGACAAAAAAUUUGACAAUCACGUGUAUCUCAAUAAGAUCUAUGAAAAAGUCAAUGGGCACGUAAGUGUAAAAUGUACAGUUAAAGGGCUAUUUUGCAUUUUUUGGCGAUUCGCACACAUUGGAAUUUCGCUAAGUCCUCCUAAGGUUUUCGUCCCACUGACACCAAAUUUGCUCAGGCCAAUCUACACUCCAUGGCCAUUCAAAGUUGUAAAAAUCAUGACGCUGCACCCCACGGUUUACGUUUUAGGGGGCGCCAAAGAUGACCCAAAUAUACAUUACAGUAGACAAAGUAGUUUUGCCCACUGAGUGGCGCCAAAGGGACUUGUCUGUGGAGUCUGUGAGUCACUAUUGGCCGUUUUUGACUACUUUAGAUUUUACCUUUAUAUUUCCUCUUACAAUAUUUUUACCUUGCCUUGCCUGGUAUCAUUUUUUUCAGCACAACCUCACCUGUGUCAAUUUACAGUUAUUUUAUCAUUUUGACAUACUAUAUUUACACAUUGGACCCAAAUUCACACACAAAACAUAAAAUCUGAGUGGAAAAAAGUAACGUUUUACUGUGAAAACCACAAAUAUGUGUGAUGAACUGUUUUUAAAACUUAAACUUCAAAUGAAAAUUGUAAACUUCAAAACAUAUGCAAAUUUUUAACAAAGAACAUAGUAAUUUACCUCUAUUUACAUCAAAAUGCAGGCAAUGGACCAGGCGUUCUUUGUAAAAUUAUUUACAAAACACUGUAUAGUCUCACAAAUGUCACUUUUUAUUUAUGCCACUACAAAAAAACAUGAUGUAAAUGAUGCAUGAUGUAAAACAUGAUGUAAAAAACUUGUGUAGAUCCUCCUCUAUGUCAGUCCAUGUGUAAUUUUUCCAUAAUUCUUUGUUUUUUGCAGCAUUUUUGUUAGUGUAACUGCAGAUUGUGCUGACAGUGUCUAUGGCAAAAAAAAAAAAAAACUGAAAAUGCCUCAACAUGAACCCCUGGUGGUCUCUGAGGGUGAAACCUGCUAACUGCUGCAGCUCUGUCAGCUUCAGUCUCCCAUGCAGAGCUCGGAGCGCAUGUGUGGCUCUGCACCCUUAGCAGCGUUGCUAACUCCUCAGUAAGGAAAGCCUGCUUCAUGUCAGAGUCUCUAAACUCCAGAACUCCAGAAGAAGUCGAUAAAAGUCCCUUUCUUUCUAAAAAAAAGUCAUUAGGGGGUCUGAAAAGUCAUUGAAUCUAACAACAAAGUCGCUAGGUUUGCAACUACGUGUCCCAGACUGCAUCCCUGCUGAGAGUCCCUCCCUCCCUUCUCAAGUUGCAGGAAGAACGCGAGCGCCCGUCCCGUGUCAAUCAGUCACCAUAUCAUUUUGGAUUGGUUGUUGUGGUGAAGUUUUCCACCAAUAGGAGAGAUGUUGUGGUGUGUUUUUUUCUUUUCUUUUGGCAAGUCUUUUCCGCCUGUAAGACCUGUCGCUAAUGUCUGCAUGCUAUGUUUUCCUGUCUCAUACAGCGCGAUCGAGCGCCGAACGUGAUCAAAAUAAGCAGAAAAAAAGUAUCGCGGACAUAAUUUCUCAUAACUCUGGUUUUAUUUGGCCUAUCAAUACAAUUUAAAAACUGGUAUAUAGUUUGAGGUCCUCACUUUUAAGAUAGGUUGAAACGGAGAAUCAACGAGGCUCCGUCUUGCAGCUACAUCCGGUUAAAUAUGUCAUGUGACUUGAACGCUGGGGAACGUCAAUCGACUGCAGAGCCAGCAGACAAAGUAGUUAUGGCCACUGAGAGGCACACAUUUGUCAUAUGCUAUAAUCCUAACAUAUUUAAAUGCUUUUUCUAUUUAAACCUAAUGGAUCUAAGCUUUGACCUUCAAAAUUUAGGAAGAAUAUGUUUUUGCAGUAAUGACCCCCUUAAACAACCAGAGGUCCUUUCCUAAAGUUUAUGGAAAUUUUAGUGAAGGCCUUGGUUUCUUUCCUUGCAAAAUGUAUAGAAAUAAUAAAGCUAAAUACCAUAAAAUGGUCUUGGCGUAUUAGCAGUGAUAUAAAAUAAAACAUAAAAAAAAAAAGAUCAACAGAGCCUUUUUGAGUUGGGAUUCUUUCAUUAUCACACAAAAACAGACAUAGACAGACAUCUAAAGGGUAAGGGAAUGAUCAGCCCUCCUAACUCUCAGAUGAAUCUUCAAAAUUCACCUCAGAAAUAUGCUUAUUAUUCUUCUCAGAGUACUGCAGGACACACACACACACACACACACACACACACACACACACACACACACACUCAGAGUCUUUUUUUUAGCACCUGCAAAAACAUGUUAUUAACAUAUUUGACAAGAAUGCAGAGGCUCCUUUUGCCCCUGAAAAAAAUCAGACUUCAAACACAACUUGACUGGUCAUUUCUCCAAAAGACAACCAUGAAGCUCCAUCCAAACCUGAAGCAGGCAGUUGGUGCAUGUGUACAGUAACCUGAGGGGAGUGAGGUGACUGCUUCUGAGGAGAACAUGAGCAGUGAAGAUUCACCUUGGAGCUACAACAGGGACGUGCACAUGAUAAUACAGGGGCAGGGGCUCAAGUUUUUUCCAGUCAUUUAUACAAUAUGGAAAUUAAUGUGAAAUUAAAAACAAAGUAUUAAUAGAAAGGUAAUGACUGUCCUGUGUAGGUGACAGUGAUAUCCAAUAGGCUAGGCACUCACGAGGCUGGCUGUUGCAAGUGUAAGUGAAAGCAACACGCACUGGCAGGAAGAACAGCAAACACCGAUGAAGGAAAAGGGUCUUUGCAGUGAUGGGCGUUACCAGAGAGGGCGAUGGCCAGAGGACGCGAAUGGGACGGGGAGGCAGCGCGUUGGGGGGGAGGGGGGGGCACACGGCUCGGGCCCGCCAGUGCCCCAACGGGGCCCUAGUUAGGGCCCGAGCGUAGCUGCUAAGCAGCUGCGAGAGCCCUAUUAUUCCCCAAGUGGUUUUUAGGGCCCGAGCGUAGCUGCUAAGCAGCUGCGAGAGCCCUCUUGUUCCUGCAUGUUUCCUUCUUUCGUUAUUAUUUUUCCUCCGCUUUAAACUGGAAAAUGGCCCACUUCCCACUGGCGAAAACUCAGGAAAUUUGGCAGGACGACCGGGCCUGGUGAAAAAUUCGAUAUUCUGAAGUCGCCCAAACAAUAAAAUGCAAAAUGGCUCCAUAGCGCCCCCUAAGGUGAAAAUUCACAUGACGGCUGUACGCUUUGUCAUAUUGACACAAAAAUUGACACACACAUGUAUCUCAAUAAGACCUACAAAAAAGUCAGUGCGGGCGUAUCUGUCAAAUGUACGGUUAAUGGGUUAUUUUGCAUUUUUUGCAGAUCUGCACACAUUGGAAUUUCGCUAACUCCUCCGAAGGCUUUCGUUCGACCGGCACCACAUUUGCGCAGGCCAAUCUACCCCCCAUGGCUAUUAAAAGUUGUACAAAUCAUGACGCUGCACCCCACGGUUUACGUUCUAGGGGGCGCCAAAGAUAACCCAAAAUCCACAUUCUUAAAAGUCUUAUAACUUUUUAUUUUUGUCCUCACUGCCCUCCAAGUUUUCUAGGAUGAUGCAAUGUCCAGCCAUCAACA